rnacentral:lncRNA from 1 species
UUUUAUUUUUUACAGUGUGGAGUGUCCAAAAACAUUUUGUUCAUGUUUCUACAUUUCUCUUUCUUUUGAAUCAAUAGGUUUUUGUUUGAUAAAAUUUGCUUAAAAAAGUGAAGAAAAAAAAACAUGACUCAGAGUGCAUCAUUCUGAUCAUUUUUGGCCAGUUAGAUCUCAUUUCCUACUCUUGAGAUGCUUGAUAAAUACAGGCUAAGAACCAGAGGCAAUAUUUGGGCCUGAAUUAUUAUAUUCUAAACUCCAAUAGGCUGUUAUUUGAAAUCCAUGUAUACAUGCAGCUUUCAUCUCUUGCGACAGGCUCAGUCAGAGGUGAUGUCAUCAUGGCGCGACCCACGAGGAUGAGGGCACUCCAAUCCGGGCCUGCGCUGUCCUUGGUGGUGCAGGGGGACUGGAUGUGUUGCUGGAGGUGUGAGCGUACGGACUCAAGGGCCGACCCGUACCGCCUGUACCCCUGGCUCACUUAAAGUCAAAUAACAUUUUCAGUCUGAGUGGACACAUCGGGUGAAGAAACUGCACAGAAUGAGUGAGGGAAGCAAGGGAAGACUUGUGACAAUCAAUCCAUGGCAUUUGUGAAAGGUUCCCAACCUUUUUCCUUAAGGGAGCCCUUCAUUGAGUACACUGACGACCCCUGACUAAGUUAUAUUUUAUGUAGAUUUCAUAUUAUAUUCUGUUUAUAAUAGAGUCCGACCGAUAAAGGAUUUUUAAGGCCGAUACUGAUACAAAUAUUUGGUGAUUUAAAAAUCUGAUAUUCCGAUAUAUCGGCCGAUAUAUAUAUUUAAAAAAGAAAAUAAAAACAAAAUGAUUGCUGCUACAGCCACAACUAUUACUACUCUUAUUUUUAUUAUUGACAGUAAUAAUUUAAAAAAAAUCAAUGAUGAUGAUAUUAUUAUUAUUAUUAUUGUUAUUAUCAUCAUCAUCAUCAUCAUCAUUUGUAUUAUUAUUAAACAAGACAAAGGUCACUCCUAAUGUUUUUUGUGUGUGUGUAAUAGUUAGUCCCUAUUGAGCUACCUUAUAAUUACAAUGUCAACUUGCUUAUCCCUUUACCUGCACUCUUUUAAUUCUAUCCAUCAAGCUACAACAAACAAUUUUCAAUCAUCAUUUGCUGCCUGCUUUCUAAAAUCUACUACUUAGUGAUGCACUAAAUCCAUUCUGUGACUCAUUAAUGCUGCGGCUGAAUGACAGUCAGCAACGCACACUUGCGUCAUUGGAUUUCACACACGAGUAAAAGAAAAGCUAACUUUUAUGCACAAGCUGUUUGAUACUUUUUCUCUAUGUCUAAAUGUUCACUCCUCGCAUGCCUAACUUACGUUUUACAAUGCACGGACUGUAACUACUAGUGACGUGCGAUCAGGAGAGGCAGGGGAGGCAGUGCCUCACCUGUCAUCAUGGAAAAAAUAAAAU